AGUAACACGUGGAUAACCUACCUAUAAGACUGGGAUAACUUCGGGAAACCGGAGCUAAUACCGGAUAAUAUAUUGAACCGCAUGGUUCAAUAGUGAAAGACAGUUUUGCUGUCACUUAUAGAUGGAUCCGCGCCGCAUUAGCUAGUUGGUGAGGUAACGGCUUACCAAGGCAACGAUGCGUAGCCGACCUGAGAGGGUGAUCGGCCACACUGGAACUGAGACACGGUCCAG
rnacentral:rRNA from 1 species